AUCGUACAAUUAUAAUUUUACGAUGUGGGAAAAUGCUAAGUGAUCACUUUUCUAUACCUAUUAGAAAAAGUGAUCUUUGACGACAUUGUCUUCGAAACGGUUCUUAAUACUGCGUCCGCAUGUUUAAGCAAAUUUGCAAAACAAUUUCUCAAAACAUGAAUGUAAAUAGUCUGCUCUCUUUGUUUUCACUCCCAUUUGUAGUGUUCACAUCAACGUAUUUGAAUUUUGUAUCAUAUGACACUAUGUUUUAUAAGUGAAGUGACGCUAUAAUUUUGAAGUGAAGUGAAUUAACAUUUUGUGAGAAAAAGUCUUGCCGAGAAAUGCUGCAAAUAUUGAAGCCGUCUUUAGUAAAAUUAUAAUUCAGUCCCAUAACCGCGGUAGUGUCAAAGGAAAAACAUUUUGCGGGAGUAUUCGUUUUUGCUGGAUACUAUUAUUGAUAAGCAACAAGAAAUGGAAAAAGGCAAUGAUUUUGUAACAGGC